rnacentral:rRNA from 1 species
UACGUAGGGUGCGAGCGUUAAUCGGAAUUACUGGGCGUAAAGCGUGCGCAGGCGGUUCGUUGUGUCGGUGGUGAAAUCCCCGGGCUUAACCUGGGAAUGGCCAUGGAAACUGGCGAACUGGAGUGCGGCAGAGGGGGGUGGAAUUCCGCGUGUAGCAGUGAAAUGCGUAGAGAUGCGGAGGAACACCGAUGGCGAAGGCAGCCCCCUGGGCUAGCACUGACGCUCAGGCACGGAAGCGUGGGGAGCGAACAGG